rnacentral:misc_RNA from 1 species
UUGUUUUAUUAAGAAAAACAUUCAGACUGAAAACGACAAACGAGUUUUAAGGAGGCUCCAGGCAAGCGGCUCCCGGGACCCCGGGGUCGGACCGUUUCCGAUCAGACAGCUCGCCAAAGCAACAGGAUUCGUUCACAUGGGGUGAUGAGAGAGAAGGCCCAAAGGGCCAAACUUCAUUAAUGAUCCUUCCGCAGGUUCACCUACGGAAA